UUUUAUCCUCGAUGCGUACGCUGAUCAGAAAGCCAGAUGUGCGCCAAAGAGCAGCGGAAGUGGCGAAUAAUUCCUUUGGUCAGUUCGCGCAGCAUUCAAAUCGCUCCAGUUUUGAUUAGGAUAAAAUGGUAAUUGGAACCUUGGUGCGUACCACUUCGGCUCCAAAUGUGGCACAAAAAUUCACUCUGGGGAGCGAAAAAUCCCAUGGACAACGCCCAGCCAGCCUUUCCCAAGCACCCCGUUUAUUCUCCAUGUCUUCGGAAAAU